ACUCCUCCCAGAGACAGUGGUCGGAACCAGAUGAAAGCAGUGACUAUCUGUUAGUAUCUCACAGGAUAUGAGGAGAAAUUUCCACAAGAACAUUAACAUUUUCCAGUAGAUGCAAGUGACUGUGAGCAGAACGAUGUUUUCCCUUCUUAGGAGACCCACACUGACAUGGUCCACGCUGAUGAAAGCCAUUCAGCAAAAUCACAGGUCAACCAUCUACAGCAAGCCGCCCAAAGAAAAGAUCGGGCCAAUGCAAUCUUUCUUUGCCAUAUGUGUGUUUGCUGUGACUCUCUUGGGCCCGGCUGGAUGGAUCAUGCAUCACAUCCCAGACUACCGACAGAGAUCACCUUCACAAACCUAACUUCUGCAAAAAAAUGCAAUCAUGAAGACACCUAUGCAUACAUGUUAUGUGAGUGGAUUUUUCCAAUGUGUAUGAAGGGAAGAAAAACUUAAUGAUGAAAGUUUACACUCUAUAAAGACUUUGAUAAAAUA